rnacentral:lncRNA from 1 species
AUGACGCUGCUCUGUUCAUCCGUUCCUCCCAGCCCGGGACGCGUGGCGUUCCUCCCCGCACCACAGAUCCCGCGCGGCCAAGCGCGAGUCGUUUCCAGGCAUCGGCGUCUGUGGUCCUCGACCUUCGGAUUUCAGACCUCGGUGCCUCCCAGGACCGCGAUAAACGUCGCCUCCGCCCCUCUCUCUCAGAUCGCCUGGGGGGCGGUCUCGGCUUGCCCCAAAUCGGUCCUCAUUAGAGCCCGGCCAGGGAAGCCGGCAUCCGUGGCUCCCAGGGACCUGGACCCGGAGCUGCUCCUCCCUGCCCGGGCGACAGCAGCUGAGCAGUCCCGAGGCGGUCCGGAACCUCGCGGUGCCGUCUCCCCUCCCAGAGCGGAGUCGGGGACCGGGCUAGGUGGAAAUGCCAUGGUUCCCUUCUGCCCAGCGGGACCGCCCCUGCCCAGUCUCUCUCGCUUUUGGCCCUUCCUGGGGCUUCUAACGCCGUGGAACACUUGUGUUUCUCCUAGGGCUCGCUUGGAGGAAGGCAGCCUAGCGCAGACGGAAGGACCAGAUAUGAGCCAGAGGAGCUCCUGUGGACUGGGAAUUUUGGAACUACUCAGAGCUGAGGGCGAGUCCUUCACCUGGACCCGGAUGCCAGAUAAGCAGCAGGACAUGGAGCUCAUCAUCAUGAGAGUGCCCUGCCUGGUGACUUCUGGGCUCUUAAGUGUGUGACGUUUGUCAGUGUUCUCCAGACAGCUGUCUGUUUCCUACAGCUAAAUCCCAAACCACUUGUCCCAGCUGGCUGCACUUCCUACUGCUUGUUGUUCUCACUUUCUUAACUCUUUGCUUCUGCAACUUCCACCUUCCCUCUCUUCUGGUCCCACAGUUUGGGUCUUAUUGCCCAGAACUGCUUCUCCUCUGAAACCUUACAUGCCACUCACCAGACCUCUCAACCCAGCAUUUCAUUCAUUAAAAUCUCUAACACUUUCCGUUGUUCCAGCUCUUUCUUAUUGGGGUCACCUCCCCCACAAUUUGCUGCUUUUCCUCCUUUUUAUCAGCCCAUGUUCUGAUUUUCUCUAAGCCUAAACUAAAAUAGGGAAUUUCAAGGGCUGGCGCUAUGGCGCAGUAGGUUAAUUUUCCGCCUGUAGUGCCGGCAUCCUCUACGAGUGCCGGUGCUAGUCCCAGCUGCCCCUCUUCCAAUCCAGCUCUCUGCCAUGGCCUGGAAAAGCAGUAGAAGAUGGUCCAAGUCCUUGGGACCCUGCACCCGCAUGGGAGACCGGGAGGAAGUACCUGGCUCCUGGCUUCAGAUUGGCGUAGCUCCGGCCCUUGCAGCCAUCUAGGGAGUGAACCAACGGAAGGAAGACCUUUCUCUCUGUCUCUCCCUCUCACUGAAACUCUACCUCUCAAAUAAAUAAAUAAAAUAUUAAAAAAAGAAAUGGGGA